rnacentral:rRNA from 1 species
GAGUUUGAUCCUGGCUCAGAUUGAACGCUGGCGGCAUGCUUUACACAUGCAAGUCGAACGGGGUGAGGAGCUUGCUCCUCAUCUAGUGGCGAACGGGUGAGUAAUACAUCGGAACGUACCGUGUAGUGGGGGAUAACGUAGCGAAAGUUACGCUAAUACCGCAUACGAUCCACGGAUGAAAGCAGGGGACCUUCGGGCCUUGUGCUAUACGAGCGGCCGAUGUCUGAUUAGCUAGUUGGUGGGUAAAGGCCCACCAAGGCAACGAUCAGUAGCGGGUCUGAGAGGAUGAUCCGCCACACUGGGACUGAGACACGGCCCAGACUCCUACGGGAGGCAGCAGUGGGGAAUUUUGGACAAUGGGCGCAAGCCUGAUCCAGCCAUGCCGCGUGUCUGAAGAAGGCCUUCGGGUUGUAAAGGACUUUUGUCAGGGAGCAAAACCCAGCAGCUAAUAUCUGUUGGGGAUGAGAGUACCUGAAGAAUAAGCACCGGCUAACUACGUG